rnacentral:rRNA from 1 species
AACGAACGCUGGCGGCAUGCUUAACACAUGCAAGUCGAACGAGACCUUCGGGUCUAGUGGCGCACGGGUGCGUAACGCGUGGGAAUCUGCCCUUUGCUACGGAAUAACUCAGAGAAAUUUGUGCUAAUACCGUAUAAUGUCGUAAGACCAAAGAUUUAUCGGCAAAAGGAUGAGCCCGCGUAAGAUUAGCUUGUUGGUGAGGUAAAGGCUCACCAAGGCGACGAUCUUUAGCUGGUCUGAGAGGAUGAUCAGCCACACUGGGACUGAGACACGGUCCAGACUCCUACGGGAGGCAGCAGUAGGGAAUAUUGGACAAUGGGGGGCAACCCUGAUCCAGCCAUGCCGCGUGAGUGAAGAAGGCCCUCGGGUUGUAAAGCUCUUUUGUCCGGAAAGAAAGCAUUCGGUUAAUACCCGGGUGUUCUGACGGUACCGGAAGAAUAAGCACCGGGCUAACUUCGUG